UACGAAGGGGGCUAGCGUUGUUCGGAAUUACUGGGCGUAAAGCGCGCGCAGGCGGUCUUCCAAGUCAGGGGUGAAAUCCCGAGGCUCAACCUCGGAACUGCCUUUGAUACUGGGGAUCUCGAGUCCGGGAGAGGUGAGUGGAACUGCGAGUGUAGAGGUGAAAUUCGUAGAUAUUCGCAAGAACACCAGUGGCGAAGGCGGCUCACUGGCCCGGAACUGACGCUGAGGUGCGAAAGCGUGGGGAGCAAACAGG
rnacentral:rRNA from 1 species